UCUGAUCAGUGUUAUAGUACUGAAUAUCAUAAUGAGAAUCAUAAUCCUAUAACAUAGAAUCUGAAUAUCAGGAUUAACUAAUAUUAUUAUCUCUAACACUACAAAAAUUAAAGAAGAUGAUUCCCUCCCAUCAUAUUCUAGAUGACUUGAAUCAACAAUGAAAUUAAUGAUUCAAAGCAACUGCAUAAGCAACCUGCAAGUACAAAAAUACACAUUACUGAGUGCAAUAAGAAACCAAGUUAUAAUAACAUUACUUUCAGUGAUGAGUAAACAUAUAAAAACAAAACGCAACAUAAGAUCUCCCAUAAAAGUGUAGCUCUCAUCAAUAAGUACCACAAACAAUUGAAAAACUUAUAAUAUACCGUAACAAGCACUUAAGAAAAAUGGGAAUAACAAAGAAGAAUUUGAAUGGUAUUGAAAGAUUAAGAUUAAUAAAACUAUUUGUAUUCUUAACCAUUUACAAAUGUAACUUUAUCAACUUUCCCCCUUUGACUCAUCCAAGUAACAACCAAAUAAUAGUGAUCAACUCUUAUUUUUCAGCAAAAACAAAACAUAGCAGAAGGUUCUAGUUACCAUUAUUGAGAUUCAAUGGGAAAUGAGCAAGAUAUCCAAAUAAAUGAUUAUUCUUUUCACUUUAAUUCUCUCCAAAGAUCAAUUUUCUUUAAGCAUAAACAACUGAUAACCAAAUAUAAUAGACAACUCGAUAUAAUAGCCAACGAACAUAAGUUCAUAAUAUAUAAACGAAAAUAAGUUACAGAAAACAGGAGAAAAAGAAAGCAUACGAAAGAAAGAGGCAAUCGAUAACAAGUUAAAAAACAAGGGAAAAAGGGAAAAUAUACCAAUGAAAGAGGGCAAUUGGUAUGUACUCGAAGAGCCUUUCCAAUUAUCUCAAUAUCAGAGG
rnacentral:lncRNA from 1 species